rnacentral:rRNA from 1 species
CCUACGGGGGGCAGCAGUGAGGAAUAUUGGUCAAUGGACGAGAGUCUGAACCAGCCAAGUAGCGUGAAGGAUGACUGCCCUAUGGGUUGUAAACUUCUUUUAUAUGGGAAUAAAACGUUCCACGUGUGGGUUUUUGUAUGUACCAUAUGAAUAAGGAUCGGCUAACUCCGUGCCAGCAGCCGCGGUAAUACGGAGGAUCCGAGCGUUAUCCGGAUUUAUUGGGUUUAAAGGGAGCGUAGGUGGAUUGUUAAGUCAGUUGUGAAAGUUUGCGGCUCAACCGUAAAAUUGCAGUUGAAACUGGCAGUCUUGAGUACAGUAGAGGUGGGCGGAAUUCGUGGUGUAGCGGUGAAAUGCUUAGAUAUCACGAAGAACUCCGAUUGCGAAGGCAGCUCACUGGACUGCAACUGACACUGAGGCUCGAAAGUGUGGGUAUCAAACAGGAUUAGAUACCCCAGUAGUC